GACGUAGGAAGCAAGCGUUGUCCGGAAUUAUUGGGCGUAAAGAGCUCGUAGGCGGUCUGUUACGUCCGCUGUGAAAACCCAGGGCUUAACCCUGGGCUUGCAGUGGAUACGGGUAGACUAGAGGCAGGUAGGGGAGAAUGGAAUUCCCGGUGUAGCGGUGAAAUGCGCAGAUAUCAGGAGGAACACCAAUUGCGAAGGCAGCUCGCUGGAACGUAACUGACGCUGAGACGCGAAAGCGUGGGGAGCAAACAGG
rnacentral:rRNA from 1 species